UUGACAGUUUGUUUUCUUUUUGACAGCAAAAAAAAAGUUCGGUGAAAUUAUUAAAAAAAUAUAAAAUAAACAAAUAAGGAAAGGGGGAAACUAAUGAAAGGAAGAAAAAGGGAGGAUGGAAAAGGACAGUGAGGAAAAGAAAGCAGCGUGGACGGAGGCGGACAUGACGGCGGCGUUGGAUGCAAUUCGCGAGGAGCAAAUGAAUCUUGUGAAAGCGAGCGUCCAAUUUGGCAUUCCGGCCUCGACGCUGUGGCAGCGGGCAACGCGACUGGGUAUCCCGGUGCCGAAGAAUGGUGUAAAGACCAAGACGUCCAAUAAGGAUGGGCUGGCGGAGGCGGUGGUGUUGCUGAAAAAUGGGGAGAUUUCCGUGAAUAAGGCGAGUAAAGUGUUUGGAAUUCCGCCGUCGACGCUGUACAAGAUUGCCAAGAGGGAGAAAAUACAGCUGUCGCCGCCAUUCAACACGUCCGCCACGUCCUGGACGCAGGACACCCUCGCCACGGCAAUGGACGCCAUCCGGAAUGGGCACAUGUCGGUUCACAUGGCGAGCACAAAGUUCAAAAUACCGUCCGGCACGCUGUAUGGGCGCUGCAAGCGCGAGGGGCUGGAACUAUCGCGCACCAGCCCGGCUCAGUGGUCACCCAAGGACCUCAAGGAGGCACUCGAUGCCAUCCGAUCGGGGCAAAUGUCGAUAAAUCAGGCGUCGGAGCACUUUAAAAUCUCCUACAGCGCCCUGUACAAGCGGGUCAAGCCAAAUCUCGCGCGUCACGAAGGUCACACCGGUGGGUAUGAGGGUGAGCGCGCCGACACAAGUAGUGCACUCACGGAAACAUCGGAAUCCUCCACGGAGGUGACGGAGAAUGCGGCGGCUGGUGGUGGGUGCGAUGACGUGCGCAAAGGCAAUAGGAUUAUCGAGCAGAAUGGGUGCUUCAUCACGGUAUUGGAUCCGUGCCACGUGGAAGAGAAACCAAUGCCCGUUGUACCCAUGGAGCAUCACCACCAUCACCAGCACAUGGAUGUACCGCAUCAAGCUGCCGACAAUCGCCACGACGGUGGCUACAGGGUCAACGGGAGUCCCAUUGGGAUGGGCUACUUGGACUUUGCGCCGGAACCACCCGCUCCAAGUGCCAUCCCCGUCACGGGAUACCUUGACUACUCUGCCCCAGAACCCAAAUACAGCACAAGUGCUGCAUAUCCUUAUCCGUCAAAUGGAUACGGAAACUUGAGACCACUGGAUCCAAUGGAGGGUGUACCACAAAUUCACAAUCAUCAUCAACUUCCUCAGUAUGUCCAGCAGCAGCAUCCUGGCAUGCAACCCAUGGGGACGCCCAUGCAUCACCAGAUGCCGCAAAUGAGAGCUUACACGGAACCAGUGGAUUAUCUCAAAAUGUCACAUGACACACUUCCGCCGCAUCAAGUUCCGGCCGAACACAGCGAUGUGAACACCUUCAAUCACCUCUAGUGUGUGUGCGUGUGUGUGUGGGUGCGUUUUAACCCCAAUGCGACGUCAGGGCCGUUUUUUCUUAGGACAGCGUGCGGAUAUAUUUACAUUUUUGGCAAAAUAUUGCGCCAAAAUCAAAAUGAAACAAGUAACCACCACCACCCCCCAGUUCAUCACCCCCCAGCACCGACUUUUCUUCUCGAACCCCCCUCACGGAAAACUUCACAACAACAACAACAACAUGGACAAAAACCUUUUCGCGCAGCAACCAAAGGGAGGCGGAAGACGGUACAAAUUUCAACUGACGACAAAAAAUACCAAAAAAAAAUGAACAAUCACCUUUAGAAGAAAAAAAAUUUUCCACAAUUUUCACAAACACAGAAAAUAUUUAAGAAAACAAACAAAAAAUUAGACACUUUUAUGAAAAAAGAAAACAAACAUUAAACACUCACAACAAAAACACUUUCUUAAACAACACAACACACACACUUUUAUUAUUAUUAAAAGAAAAAAAUUAAUUCUAGAAAAAAAAAGAUGAAUAUUGAGUAGAAGAGUUAAAAACAUGAGGUUUUUACGUAUAAAUGUCACUUAACAAGUAAAAUAUUAAUUACAUUUUUAUAGCACUUAAUGAAAGAAGAAAAAAAUUCAUUGGCGAGGCAUCAAGUUUUAUGAGUUGAUAUUUUUUUCUACAAAAAAAUUCAUUUUAAAAAGAAAAAAUCAUCCACGACAAAAUAGAAAAAAAGAAUUAAAACACUUUUACGUGAUUUUUCGUAUUUGUAUUUUUUUGUUCUUCAAACUAUUGAUUUAUUGGCGUAUUUUUAGUGGAAAAGGGGAGCAUAAAUUGACAAUUUAAUCCCCCUUCUCUUAUUGAAAAAGAUAAAAAUUAAAAAAAAAAACAUUACAUUUCUAUUACAAAAAUUAAAAAAGAAAAAUAUUACAUUAGAUAAUAUUUUAGAUGAUUUAAAAAAAUUAAAUCAAUCAUUUAUAUUUUUUUUCUUGUCUGGAAAACAUCUUUUUGCGAUUUUUCUAAUUUUUAUUUUUAAUGCUAUGAAGGAGAAGUGAAAGAAAGUUUAGAAAAUCAAAAGAGAAAAAUAACAAAACAAAAAAAUACGAGAAUCUCGUUUUUUUAUUUAAAAAAAAAACAAAAAUAAAAGGAAAAAUUUCGAUGGUUGAAGCAAAAAACAAAAAAAAAAUAUUAUCAUGUAUAGAAAAGAGAAAAAAAAUUGAAAAUAUAGUGAAAAAAUUUCUUUAGUAAACAAAAAAAUGAAGUAAUUGUGUCAUGUGUGCAAUAAUUGUCACUUAAAUUUUGUUUCUUCAACUUAAUCUGAUUUUUUAUUACAUUUUUAUUGUGUUUUAUUUUGCAAAUCUUAUAGGUUACAGAGAACUUAUUAUAUCAAGGGAACAUUGUAAAUUAAAGGAAGAUUUGAAUGAGUUUUAAUUUUUUUUUAAUAAUUCUUUAAGAGGUGCAACGCGUGACAAAAGUUCUUUCCUACAAAACUCAUAAUUUAGUGUAGUCUGUUUAAAUUAACAUUGCACUGUAGCUCCACUCCGCGAAUUGGAGCCAAUGGAAGUCUCUAACCGAAUUUAUCAGCCAAUUAGAAAGCUCUACGUCAUUGAUUCUUCUUCUUAUUAAUUUACAUUUCAUUUUAUAAUUAAUUGUUUGUAAUUAUUGUUGAUUUGAAUAGUUCAUUGAGAAAAUAAUUAAAUGAUCUUGUAAUAGAAAAUUUAAUUUUUAAGAGAGAAAAUGACUAGGAGAAACUUAGAGAGAGAUAGAGAGAGAAACCGUGUACGCUUAUUGGCUAGGCACGCAAACAGACUCUCUUUCUCACUCUAUUCGUGUUUCUUCUCAUCUUUUUGCUCUCUUAAAAAUUUAAUUUUCUACGUUAAGCAAUUCAAUUAAUUUAAUGUACUAAACAAUGAGUCCUAAAGGAGAAAACACCCUAAAAUGCAAAAUCUAUAAUCCAAUCUUAAAAAAAAAUAUUAAAUAAUAUUAAAACUCAUUCCAAGCCAUUUAAUUUGCAAUGUUCCCUUGAGAGAGAGAAAAACAGAAGAAUUACUUGGAAGCAAAAAUGAGAAAACAAUCUUUGUUUGUUUUUUUUCUUUUAACUAAAGCCUCAACUACAUUUUUUAUAGUAAUCAAAUUUUUAAUAAUUUCAAUUGCGUUAUUUUAUUAUCAUCUCUUAGCUUCUAUAAUACCUUUUAAAUGAGAAAAAAAUAAUACCACUAUUAUGCUCUAGUUAUUACAUUUUAAUAUUAAAAAAAAAGAAGGAGAAGAUGAGGAAGAGAAAUUAUUCAUUAUUAAAUUUAUUAGCAAAAAAAAAGUGAAAACUUAAACGUUAAAUCACAAAAAUAAUUCUUGUUGCAUUUUUUCUUCAUUUUUUAAAUUCUUUUUAGAAUUUUUAAAAUUCCUUCCCCCCUAAAAAAUAAAUUUUCUCUUUGCAAAAUCAAAAUUUUUAAUAAACUUAAACAAUUUGUUUUUCUUUGCUAUUGAUCUUUUUAUCUCAUUUUUAGAGUUAAAAAAAAAUUUAUAUAAAUAUAUCUAUUAUAAUAAAUCAAAAGUAUUUUUUUCCUCUCUUUAUUUUGACUUCUGUUACACGUUUUUAUUCUUAUUAUACAAUUUAAACAAAAAAAAAUGAAAUGAGAAAUGAGAAGAGAAAAAAAUAUUGAAAUACAAAAAAAAUCUAUGAAAAAAAUGAAAAUAAAAAAACUGAAAAAUUAGCGUAAUUAAAAAUAAGCCUAUAGAUUAAAUGUGAAGAAAUAUUAUUAUUAUAUAUUAUAUAAAAAUUAUGAAAGAAAUAAAGGAAUGCAUUUCAAUGGAUUUUACACAAAAAAAAAAAACAAUAAAGAGAGACAGCAUUUCUUUCUUUCGCUGGCCUUUUUUUGGGCUUAUAAAAAAUAUUAUUUAAAAAAAAAACUAAAGCAGCUGAGAGAUCUACAACAUUGCACGUUGUGAGGGUCAAAAAGAGAAUCGAGAACCACA